UGAAUGUGAGGGAUAUCAUUAGAGAAUUUUAAAAGUCAAGGACAAUUAUGGGUAACUCGCCCAAUCUCAGGGAUCAAUUUGGGGUUUUAGUCAAGAAGAUGGCUAUUUGUGGAGGCUCUCUGGCUAACCGUCCUCCAAGAAACCCUCAUCCCAAAACUCAAGCUCACACCCACAUACAUAUUUAUUCUCACUCCUCUUCACUUUCUUCACCAGUUCCCAAGAAUAUGGCCCAAACGAAGAAUCCUACUUGCUGUUCCAAAGCCACAUCUCCAGAUGCUGGUACUUCUACGAAAAAUGGGGCUAAGGGUAAGAAACCAAUGGCGGAGGAAGAACCUAAAAUGUCUCCUCAUCCUCGAUUCUCCUCAUCCACGAGGAUGUUCUGCUGACAAAGCUUCCUCAAAUCGUUCUAAUAAAGUUCCAUCGAAUGGAAUACUUGGCCAGAAUAUUAUCAAUAAGAUAGGGGCGACCUUUGGGAGUCUUCGUGUACUUUUUUAAGAAAAAAAAAUUGCGAUCCUUCCUUUCGACAAUUUUUGAGCUGCACCUCCUAGAUUUCCUCAGUUCUAAGUCCUUAUAUCUAUUAAUAUUCAGGAAAACAUUGUUUUGCUAGUCUAUUUAGUUUGUAUUAACAACAAAUCACACAUUACAAAAGCUAAUCUCAAGGUUAAAGAAUUUCACAAUUUUUUAUUCAUAUGCUAUACAUGAGCAAUUUCCUUUAUAAUGACGAUAUCUGUUCAAGUAAAUUGAAAUAUUAAAUUUCUGUUGAUCUCUCUGCAUUCCUCGGGUGCUUGAGCUUCUUGGUUGUAUCGCUAGCACUAUCAGUGACAUAUUACACAUACAAGAAAGGAGUGGCACCAGGCAACAACAAUCAGAAAACCCCAAAAAA